UACGUAGGGGGCAAGCGUUGUCCGGAUUUAUUGGGCGUAAAGAGCGUGUAGGCGGCCAUGCAGGUCAGCUGUGAAAACUCGAGGCUCAACCUCGAGACGUCGGUGGAAACCGUUUGGCUAGAGUCCGGAAGAGGAGAGUGGAAUUCCCGGUGUAGCGGUGAAAUGCGCAGAUAUCGGGAAGAACACCCGUGGCGAAGGCGGCUCUCUGGGACGGUACUGACGCUGAGACGCGAAAGCGUGGGGAGCGAACAGG
rnacentral:rRNA from 1 species